AUCACUUGUCAUAAGACCAUGUGGGUGGCAGGAGGUGAGGCUGGACCUCUCAUGCUCAGGCCCUGUCUCACACACAGGGGCAGAGCCAAGGGCAGCAUAAAAGGACCUGUAGCCAGAGGCUCUCCAUCCUCAUCCACUCCUGUCCUGAGGUGCUGAGACCUGAGCUGCUUUUAACUGGUCCUGAAGGCCACCCACCAGCAUGUCCUGCCAGCAGAGCCAGAAGCAGUGCCAGCCCCCUCCCAAAUGCUCCCCGAAGUGUCCCCCUAAGUGUCCUCCAGUGUCCUCCUGCUGCAGCUCUGGGGGUGGGGGCUGCUGCAGCUCUGGGGGUGGGGGCUGCUGCAGCUCUGGGGGUGGGGGCUGCUGCCUGAGCCACCACAGGCCCUGCAGGUCCCACCGCCACAGGCAGAGCUCUGGCUGCUGCAGCCAUUCCUCAGGGGGCUCCAGCAGCUGUGGAGGGGGCUCCAGCAGCUGUGGAGGGGGAUCCAGCUGCUGUGGAGGAGGGAGCACUCAGUCCUCUGGAGGCUGCUGCUGAAGGGCACUCUUGACAAGAAUAAGGACUUAGAAACACAUAAGGAAGAACUGCAUCUUUCUCCACCUGUUCUGCUGCUGAGAAUCUUCAAUGGAUGCAGAUUCUGUGCUGGAGAGUCUUCACUCCUGGAAUACUCUUCCCAAGUCUGGCAUGGUCUGCUGCCUGAAAUGGGCAUUCCUGGAGACUAUGGCCUCCUGAAGUGAAUCAAUAAAGUUUUGUGGCCCCCAUA